rnacentral:rRNA from 1 species
UACAGAGGUCCCAAGCGUUGUUCGGAUUCACUGGGCGUAAAGGGUGCGUAGGCGGUCGGGUAAGUCUGAUGUGAAAUCUCACAGCUUAACUGUGAAACUGCAUUGGAUACUAUUCGGCUUGAGAGUUGGAGGGGGGACUGGAAUUCCUGGUGUAGCGGUGAAAUGCGCAGAUAUCAGGAGGAACACCGGUGGCGAAGGCGGGUCUCUGGGCCGUAACUGACGCUGAGGAGCGAAAGCAUGGGGAGCGAACAGG